UACGGGAGGCAGCAGUGGGGAAUAUUGCACAAUGGGCGCAAGCCUGAUGCAGCCAUGCCGCGUGUAUGAAGAAGGCCUUCGGGUUGUAAAGUACUUUCAGUCGUGAGGAAGGUGUUAAGGUUAAUAACCUUAGCAAUUGACGUUAGCGACAGAAGAAGCACCGGCUAACUCCGUGCCAGCAGCCGCGGUAAUACGGAGGGUGCGAGCGUUAAUCGGAAUUACUGGGCGUAAAGGGCACGCAGGCGGUUAAUUAAGUUGGAUGUGUUAAAUCCCCGGGCUUAACCUGGGAAUGGCAUUCAAGACUGGUUAGCUAGAGUCUUGUAGAGGGGGUAGAAUUCCAUGUGUAGCGGUGAAAUGCGUAGAGAUGUGGAGGAAUACCGGUGGCGAAGGCGGCCCCUGGACAAAGACUGACGCUCAUGUGCGAAAGCGUGGGGAGCAAACAGGGAUUAGAUACC
rnacentral:rRNA from 1 species